CUGAAGGCUUACAGUGAAAAUCCAACGCGGACCGCUCGUAGUAGAAAUUUGAAGUAGACCACUUGUAGCAGAAGCUCAGAGUAGAUCGCUUGCGGCAGAAGUUCGGAGUCCGGCCUUUGUAGGAGUUCGGAUGAGGUCUACCUGCAAUAGGAGUUUAGGGCGAAAGUUCGACUCCCGUAGGAGCCCGGAUGAAGACUACCUGCAGCCAG
rnacentral:lncRNA from 1 species